AUAAUCAUUGACGUAUCUAUAAAAGGAUAUUGAAAUGUUGAAAAAAUCAUCAUUCCUUUUUUUGGAUAUUCAAUCAACAUGCAAUUCAACUUGAAAACUAUCUUCGCCGUCCUUGCCAUCUUUGGCCUUGUCAUGCCCGCUGCUUUGGGACUCCAAAAGGCCCAACAUUCCAACUCUAGAAACAGAAGAAGUGCUACUCGUCCUCAUAAGCAAAGCCAUAUUGUAGGACGAAACCGUCUAUAAAAUGUACUUAAGACGAGGCCAUGUAUAAAAUGUACUUAAGACGAGGCCAUGUAUAAAAUGUACUUAAAACAAUUAGAAUUCUUUAAAAAUAAAUAAUCAAAUCAA
rnacentral:lncRNA from 1 species